rnacentral:snoRNA from 2 species
GGUUGAUGAGGAUUUAUCUUUUAAGGCUUGUUUCUCAAAACAUUCGCAGUGGCCGCCUAAAGCUUUCGCCUUUCGCCAGGCUUGAGAGUUUAUGCUGCUUUUUAUCCUUCCUUCCUUGGAUGUCUGAAACC